rnacentral:lncRNA from 1 species
UUUGGGGAGCAGUGCUAAGAAAGACUCCCCACCCUUAGUGAGAAGAGAAUAAUACUGACAGGGGCUUGUCAUCUUGAGUAGGCUGCAAACUUUGAAGAGGAAAUAGCAUAGAUUUGCCACGGAUAAUGGAAGGAACAACUGACUUUCCUCUAGAGGAUUUGAACUGGAGGAGGCUUGAAGUUGAACAAUGGAACUCUCAGUACCAACUUCCCUUUACAGUCUGAUCUCAGAAAUCUGACAGCCAGUUGUAUUCCCCCAGACCCUCUACCUUCACCUGUACUGAGGUUGUCCCACAUGGCAGUUUCAGGCGCAAUUCUUCUGGAGAUGACAAAGGGCAGGAAGGUGCUUCAGAUUCAUGUUUCCAUGUGAUGUUUUUCUUCCAUCUGAAAAACUACUUUUUGUGAGAGGAAGACAUGAUGGCAGGUCUAGCUGUCAAGCUGCUUGGAUGGCCUUGGAGUCAGGAGAAGAGAAGAUUGGCCUCAGACACUUCCGUCUUCAGACCUGUGCCUCUCCUUUGAGGAUCCCUUCCCCGAAGCUGCCAAGGAGAACCUUCCCUCACAUUGUUCCUCCUUUGUUCCCCGCUCUCCUUUUCCAGGCUGAGAGACCUGGGGCCUUGGAAGCAAGCACACGCUGGCUGAGCUGUGAUUCCUCCAUGUUGAUUAUAAUUUUUAUCACAUUAUAUGGGAUCCCUCUGGUGGUUACUAGGGGAUACGUCAGUUUUGAGAGAUUGGAACCUAACCAAAGAAGCUUCAAAUCUAGAGGAUAAGGGGACUCAGAGUUUACAAGUCACAGCAAGCAGAUGCUGGUCUGCUUUAGGUGCCUCUUACGGGGAUUGUGAGAGGGCUCCUGGGGCCUGAGGAGGGUCUUCUGAGGUGUGAAAGGCUGUACUGGUGGUCCCUGAAAGCCAUCGUCAUUUGUGUGAGGAGGAGUACUGGAGGAGCUGUCUUACCACAUGAAAAACAGCAUGGAGCAUCCCAGCCACAUCAAAGGCACGGUUUGAGCCUUGGGCUGUAGAGGCUCAGAGAGAGUGACAAAUAAGACCCUGGUGAGAGACCAAUGGGGACAGUAUUUCCAGACUUUGGCAUGAAACAGAUUUCUGAGCACCUCAUGAAAUGUCUGCAAGGGCAGCUCCUCAGAGUGACCCUCCCAAAUCAAUCAAAGCUGGCCCCCUAUCUUAAUUAUGACUUACAAAUAGAAGCAUGCACCUGGCUGGAUGCAGUUUGCCACAUGGUUUACAAUAGCGGUAGAAUAAGAAAUAACUUACCAAACGAGUACAUUUUCUUGGCUGGCUGGGGCACUCAGAGUUGACACUGGUAAGGCUCCAUUAAAAUGCCUUUAUGUUCUGAUAUACACAGAUGUGUUAAUUUAUAGCAUAUUCAUCAGAAGACAUAAAUUAAUUGCUCUCUGAUGAAUUUUAUAACACCUCCUUUAUGCCUCUCCACCCUCCCCCUCCAAAGUACACUGAAAAGGUCAACAGCACUAUCGAAUGCAGCACACUUCAACUUCCUUCCAAGCUUAUAAUUAAAGCUAAUUAGUAGCUUUGGUAAUUAGCGCAUGUAAGCUUUCUGCUUUCUGAAUUAAUAAGACUGAGUCAGGUUUUGAGCCAAGUAGACUUUUCACUCACUGGUUCUGAUUCUUGAACUGUGUUUGGCUGGUUAAUUUAAAACAUGUCUGUUGAAAGUGGAAUACUAGAAAGAAAACAUACUUGUGAUGGUCUGCUCUCAAGCCAGUGUGAUUUAUGAACAGGCCAAAGUGGAACUGUUGUCACAAGAGAAAAUCAGAAUGCUCUGGGUUUCCAAUAACUGACCAGUCUCAACCUCUCAGUGUGAAAUGAGUUGUGCCCAGUUACUAUGUCACAUGGACACAACACAACGUCAAGGAUGCCCUUGCACACUUAUGUCACCCUCUCAUAACACAUCUGUACUAAGCACAUCAAAUCCUCUUUAUUUUAGGAGAAUGCAGAGGCAAUGGCAGUGGGGUGCCAAGAUAUAACUAACUGCUCAUUUUGAUUCAAAUAAAAAUCAAAGAGGAGAAAAAUCAUUAGUCAAAUCAGCUUCUGCUUUUGUGUAGACAAAGUGAUUCUCCAAAUAGCUUCGUGUUUCUUUUUUUAGCCAGCAUGUGGGCAUCCUGCAUGCCCAGACAGAAUUAAAAGUGCAUGUUUUAAAAUCAAGAAAUCAAAUCUAUAUUCUAUUAAAAGAAAAAAUGUGAUUUGUUUUCAGACUUUAGAAACAGUUGGGAUAAAAAUUUCCACGGGUGAGCUCAUUUGCUUUUUCUUUUCCCAUACUAAUCUCAGAAAAUUUAUUUUUGUUUUUUAAAGAAAGAAAGGAAGGAAGAAAAAGAAAAUCACUUAGUGAUUUACUGGACUCCUUAUAAGUCCAGGACAAUGGUGGGGGUUGCUCACAGCGCUAGUAAUUUUGAUACAUAAAGAAAAGGAAACAGUCACUGCUGCAGAGAGAGGAAUAUAUAAGACAGCUCUGGGUCACUAGAGUAAAUGGUUUUCAUUUUAAUGGCGCACUUACUGCCACUGUGAUAGCCACAUUUGGAUCUGUAAGGGGCAGUUAAUACUAUUCAAGAGCAAGGCACAUUUGGUCUUGUGGAUGGCUGUGAUUGUGAAGGUGACAAGGGGUUAUGGAUUCCCACAGCCUCACAGGCCCAGCUGAAUAGGAAGCCUUGUGCCCCCUUGGCAGCUCAUCCUACCCCGUGGCAGCUCAUCCUACCUAGGUGGAUACACUCCAGUAAGAUCUAUACACAGUGGUUCUCAACUGGGGGAGAUUCUGCCCCCAGGGGAUACUUGGCAAUGUUUGGCACAGUUUUGAUUGUCAUAACUGGUGGGAGAGGGUAGAUGCUACUGGCAUCUAGUGAGCAGAGACUAGGAAUGUUGCCAAACGAUCAGCCAUGCACACGACAGUCACUCCUCAACAAAGAUGAUCUGGCCCCACAGGAUACUAGUGCCAAUGUCAUGGAACCCUGAUACAGAAGGUCUAAACAGGGUCUGAGGCCCUCCUUGUCUUUGAGGAAGAGUUAAAUGUUAGCUUUCCAGAUUGACUCUGGACUGAUCUUGGCCUUAUACAAGUCAGAAAGAAGUGAGUGAUAGCUCACCCACAGGGGCUAGAUCUGAGUCAGACUGGAAGAAGUCGGCACACUCAGGGUAACGGCAGCUGCCUAAAAGCCAAGCGCUGGGCAUUUUUAUGUUGCAGCUAAGGCCAGCAUGCUGCAUUAUGGAUGAGCUCAUGUGCCAUGGCAAACAGUUUAAGAACGAUGCUUAUAUUUAAUGAAUCCUAAAUGGUUUAUUACAGAGGGUCAAGUUUCUGCUUCCUGUGGGAAUUUGACAUUUAUGAAAAUGCACGCACAUUAAUUAUUCAGUGGAGACGUCCUUCCUAUGGAAAUUCACUUUCCUGUACACUCGACAGGACUACAUUCCCUGUCUGCAUGGGCUACUUUGUUGUUAAUCCUCUAAGCAUUAAUUAAAUAAAAUUUGCAACCGAGCCAGGAUGCAUCUACCCUCAAAUGUUAUGCAAAAGACAGUUAAAUGCUGUUUGAUUUUUCCUGCUAGUAGCCAAUCAUUACCCAUAGCUAUUUAUGUUCUUCCUUUUGUUCUUUAAAGCAUAAACCUGGUAUCUCUUCCCACUGAGAAGAAAACUACGCUCAGUAAUUAAAUUACACCACAUUAAACUUACUUAAGUUCACCAGCAGGGAAAAUUCCGUGCCCCUGGGUUUAACAGUAAGUCCUAAUCACGCUUGCAAGCCAUAUCUUUUCUGUGAGUUGUUAUAGUUUUCAUUCCUGGAAUUCCAUUAAAAAUGGUAAUGUCAUUACUCCUGUUACUGCUCAAAACCAACAGCAUAAUCCUGAAUUUUAAUUAGUAAUUACAAUUAAUCAUUAUUUCAUUAAUGAAAUGUUUAGUUGGUAAUUGUCUUUGAGCACCUUACUCCCUAGGCUUAUAAGCAUUUCAUAACAUCUAAUUUGUUGCCUGUUUCUGAUGAAGUGGCACUGUCAACCUUAUUUUAUGUUAACACUUUGAUGGGGCUCUGCAUCCCAGGCCUGCACCACCGGCUGCAUAUUUACACCUUGGAAAUGUGUGGCUUCUGGCUCUCGAUAAGGUUCGCCUGAGGACGUACCCUCGCAUUCUUUCCUGCCAGCUUAAGAAGGCGACUGUUUGUGCUCCCAGAGAGCACAGCAUGUGAAGAGAGAAAUAAUAAUUCCUGGAACGCUUACUUAAUAAUAAAUCUGGGAUCCAAAUUCAUGGAUUUUUGAGAGGGGAUAGAGCAAGGAUUUGGAGGUAGUCUUUGGAACAGGAAGGUUGAUUUUAAAAGAGCUUAAAGAAUUAAGAAUAAGCUGGGAGGGUUGUCAAGAAUUUAACACGAGGCAAGAUUUUUGUUGAUCCUUUUGCAAUAGCAAAGAUAUUCUUAUUUAUUAGGAUGGUUUUUUAGGGGUGAGGGGAAGCUUGUCUUCCCCACCAAAAGGUCAGGGACCCAAGUAUGCCUUGCACACAGUUGUAUUCCUAGCUCCUGGUGCGGGGUUGGGCAUACACGUGACUCAAUAAACAGCUAGAUAAGUCAUUGUUCCUGCAUGGCCUAUGGUUAGGCUAUGAAGGGGGUAACUGAGGUACAAGAGUUAAUGGUGGUUUGGUGAUGGUAGCAGGGUGUGGGAUGCUAGGAGAUGCCAAAUCAGUGGGCUGGUGUGCUCACAAAUGACCUGAUGUCAUAGUUGUCUGUCACUGACAAUUCUAAAAGGACGGAUUCAUCCGACUGCCCUCUAUGUAAAAAAAUUUACACAUACACACACACACACACACACACACACACACCCGACGGUGAAUUAUUCAGGGAGGAGAAAGCCUGCUAUCCUUGGCAAAUUAAACAAGGAGGAUUUGAGCAAAGAAAAGAUGUGCUGCUGUUAUUUCAAGGAAGUAUUCACAGCUUCAGAAUUAAAACUGAGAUGGAACAACAUCAGACUUGUUGGAAAAUGCUCCGCGUCUGUGGUGUAUUUCAGACAAGUUAGUCAGAAAAUUCAAAAUAUCUGGAAGAAAUAAAUGACGGCCAACAGUUUGGUGUUGGCCACCAGGUGCCAGAGCACGUAUGGUCUUGGCCUAAGGUGAGUGAAAGACAGGUUUCUGGGUCAAGACAGGUGUUUCCAAAUGGCAAUUUUUGAGGCUGCUGACAUUUUACAAAAUAAAAGAAUGUGAUAAAGCUUAAGUUUUUGGUUGUAUUUUAUAAAUGUCUAUAUUUAAGAAGUUCAUGCUUUAGCACACAUAAGACAUUCAACAAGUCAUUUGGAAAUAACAUCAAAUGUCGAAAUUUGAGACCCUUUAUAAUUAGGAGUGGAGGACCAAGUGGACUCCAUCCCUUGUCCCCACAUAGGUCCUAUUUCUUUCCUAGGCCACACAGCUUUUAAACAUAAUAUUUCUCCCCUAUUAUCCUUCAGUAUUUAUAGAGCAUCCGGCCUGUGCUAGGAGCUUGAAAAGACAGUCCCUCUCUCAUGGAGCUCCCAAUAUAGAGGCCCUUUCCCUUUGGACUUUCUUCUACUGGAAAUUGCCUUUUCUUGUGUAGUUCCCUUUGCUGACUCUGCUUGUCCUCCUGUUCUCACAAAGGCUACCAUGCAGUGGGGGAAUAAAUAUGAAAAAAAAUAUAAGAUCAUUGCACUGCAGAGUGAAGGAGCAAAUCCCUUAACAGUCAUGAGUACACAUUCCAGCUCAUGAGCAUAAAGCCACACUAUUCAUAGAAAUGGGUGAUACUGAUUGUACACUUACCAUGUGUGAAUAUUGUGCUUAGUAUAUCACAUGGAUUACAUCACUUCACCUGCUUCGGAGAACCUGGAUUGAGCAUAAUGGAAAUUAAGAGUUGGCCCAUCCCUAGAUCCACAUCUGUUACCUGCUUUGCUGGCUGCCUGGGAAUGAGGUCUUGUCUGUCUGUUUUUUGUUUUUUUAACUUCAGCUUUGGCCUGGAGCUGCAGCCCAGGCCACUAUGGAAGGAAAGGGAAUGUAGCCUUUAUAAAAUCAUCUAUAGCCUGGUGGGAAUGUCAACUAGUACAACCACUAUGGAAAACAGUGUGGAGAUUCCUUAAAUAACUAAAAGGGGAAUUACCAU